UUUAACAUGCGAGUUUGCCUUUCGGCAAACGUCGUGAUUGUAUGCCGUUUCUCACUUCGUUGCGAAACGGCGGAAAAUAAGCAAUGCUCAAAAAUUGAUAUUUUUUCCGCUUGCUUAUUUUAUAA
rfam:Treponema pedis str. T A4, complete genome.